UACGGGGGGGGCAAGCGUUGUUCGGAAUUACUGGGCGUAAAGGGCUCGUAGGCGGCCAACUAAGUCAGACGUGAAAUCCCUCGGCUUAACCGGGGAACUGCAUCUGAUACUGGAUGGCUUGAGAUUGGGAGAGGGAUGCGGAAUUCCAGGUGUAGCGGUGAAAUGCGUAGAUAUGUGGAGGAACACCAGUGGCGAAGGCGACUCUCUGGGCUGUAACUGACGCUGAGGCGCGAAAGCGUGGGGAGCAAACAGG
rnacentral:rRNA from 1 species